rnacentral:rRNA from 1 species
UACGUAGGGGGCAAGCGUUGUCCGGAUUUAUUGGGCGUAAAGAGCGUGUAGGCGGCCAGAUAGGUCCGUUGUGAAAACUCGAGGCUCAACCUCGAGACGCCGAUGGAAACCAUUUGGCUAGAGUCCGGAAGAGGAGAGUGGAAUUCCUGGUGUAGCGGUGAAAUGCGCAGAUAUCAGGAAGAACACCCGUGGCUAAGGCGGCUUACUGGUCCGGUUCUGACGCUGAGGCGCGAAAGCGUGGGGAGCAAACAGG